rnacentral:rRNA from 1 species
AGCGAACGCUGGCGGCAGGCCUAACACAUGCAAGUCGAACGAACCUUUCGGGGUUAGUGGCGGACGGGUGAGUAACACGUGGGAACGUGCCUUUAGGUUCGGAAUAACUCAGGGAAACUUGUGCUAAUACCGAAUGUGCCCUUCGGGGGAAAGAUUUAUCGCCUUUAGAGCGGCCCGCGUCUGAUUAGCUAGUUGGUUGAGGUAAUGGCUCACCAAGGCGACGAUCAGUAGCUGGUCUGAGAGGAUGAUCAGCCACAUUGGGACUGAGACACGGCCCAAACUCCUACGGGAGGCAGCAGUGGGGAAUCUUGCGCAAUGGGCGAAAGCCUGACGCAGCCAUGACGCGUGAAUGAUGAAGGUCUUAGGAUUGUAAAAUUCUUUAACCGGGGACGAUAAUGACGGUACCCGGAGAAGAAGCCCCGGCUAACUUCGUG